GACGAACGCUGGCGGCGUGCUUAACACAUGCAAGUCGAACGGAAAGGCCCUGCUUUUGUGGGGUGCUCGAGUGGCGAACGGGUGAGUAACACGUGAGUAACCUGCCCUUGACUUUGGGAUAACUUCAGGAAACUGGGGCUAAUACCGGAUAGGAGCUCCUGCUGCAUGGUGGGGGUUGGAAAGUUUCGGCGGUUGGGGAUGGACUCGCGGCUUAUCAGCUUGUUGGUGGGGUAGUGGCUUACCAAGGCUUUGACGGGUAGCCGGCCUGAGAGGGUGACCGGCCACAUUGGGACUGGGAUACGGCCCAGACUCCUACGGGAGGCAGUAGUGGGGAAUAGUGCACAAUGGGCGGAAGCCUGAUGCAGCAACGCCGCGUGCGGGAAGACGGCCUUCGGGUUGUAAACCGCUUUCGCCUGUGACGAAGCGUGAGUGACGGUAAUGGGUAAAGAAGCACCGGCUAACUACGU
rnacentral:rRNA from 1 species